UACGUAGGGUGCGAGCGUUGUCCGGAAUUACUGGGCGUAAAGAGCUCGUAGGUGGUUUGUCGCGUUGUUCGUGAAAACUCACAGCUUAACUGUGGGCGUGCGGGCGAUACGGGCAGGCUGGAGUUCGGUAGGGGAGACUGGAAUUCCUGGUGUAGCGGUGAAAUGCGCAGAUAUCAGGAGGAACACCGGUGGCGAAGGCGGUUCUCUGGGCAUGACCUGACGCUGAGGAGCGAAAGUGUGGGGAGCGAACAGG
rnacentral:rRNA from 1 species